CUUCUGCAGAAUUACCCUGCUACUUUGAAUUUCAGAAGGUGGCUUUAACUAAGAUACCCUAUUGUGUUCUUUUCAAACCUAGAAAAUUACUUUUAUUGUCUUCAUAGGCCUAUUCUUCUCCUUACUGGGUCUCUCUUCAGGACUAUCCAAUUUGUAUUCACAUCCUUAUACCAGUAGGUAAAGUAAAAUAUUAGUAGUUCAAACAAACACAGGAAGAUAAAGACAGCUGGCAUCCUUUUGUAGAUCUUUCUUUAGGACUAAAACAUUUUAUUCUGCAGUAUCUGAUGGAAUCACAGGGAUUUCAAUUACACAGCUGGGAAAUAAACCAUCACUAUAAUAGUCCAUUAGUAUUUUUGAAAUAUUUUGCCAAUGAAAGGAAGAAAAUUAAGCACCUGGAGAGGGUGCUGCUUUCUGUAUAGAAGACACGGCAUACACAGGCGCAAAUGAUAAUAUUUUGUUGAAGUAGAGAAGAGUGGGAUGUGUUUGGGAACAAAAUCUGUUUUCUGACUGUGACUAUUUCAGAUAUAGAUUGCCUUGGAUAAUUUAAUUUCAAUCACCUGUUUUUUUUAAUAAUAAAUAUGUCACUUUCUGAAUGCUUGCCAUUCACAGUUAAUUGCAUUUAAAUCCAGCAGCACAUAUCAGAACACCUGUGUAUUGUGUAAGGAGUGAGAUCAGUGGGUUAAUAUUGAGGCACACUCAAUGAGGUCACUGUUUCCUCCUCUACUGAUCAGUCCUGCUUUCAGUUCCUGCUGAAGGCUUUGACAGACAUCAAAUGGCUUGGAGUAUUGGCCCAUUACUAUCUGGCAGCCGCCCUAUUUCUGCCUUCACUGCAGGAGCAAGCUGUUCGUGCGGAAUUCUCAGGAGACAAGCAUCAUAGAGGAAGGCUGUUAACCUCCACCAUGUCCUCCAGAGAGCUCCUCCCUCCAAAAGGUCUUUGCUUCAUCAAAAUGACAUUUUAGAGAACCGAAGUGAGGAAGUGCGUGAUUCAAAAUGAGCAGAUUUCAUUCUGGUUGAAAUAUAUUGGUGUCUUCAGCAAAUGAGAGCGCAGCAAGGC
rnacentral:lncRNA from 1 species